rnacentral:rRNA from 1 species
UACAGAGGUCCCGAGCGUUGUUCGGAUUCACUGGGCGUAAAGGGUGCGCAGGUGGGUUGGCAAGUUUGAUGUGAAAGCCCCGGGCUUAACCCGGGAAAGGCAUUGAAUACUGCUGAUCUGGAGGAUCGGUGGGGGGACUGGAAUUCUUGGUGUAGCAGUGAAAUGCGUAGAUAUCGUGAGGAAUACCAGAGGCGAAGGCGGCUACCUGGACAAUUGCUGACGCUCAGGCACGAAAGCGUGGGGAGCAAAAGGG